rnacentral:rRNA from 1 species
GACGAACGCUGGCGGCGUGCUUAACACAUGCAAGUCGAACGGAAAGGCCCUGCUUUUGUGGGGUGCUCGAGUGGCGAACGGGUGAGUAACACGUGAGUAACCUGCCCUUGACUUUGGGAUAACUUCAGGAAACUGGGGCUAAUACCGGAUAGGAGCUCCUGCUGCAUGGUGGGGGUUGGAAAGUUUCGGCGAUUGGGGAUGGACUCGCGGCUUAUCAGCUUGUUGGUGGGGUAGUGGCUUACCAAGGCUUUGACGGGUAGCCGGCCUGAGAGGGUGACCGGCCACAUUGGGACUGAGAUACGGCCCAGACUCCUACGGGAGGCAGCAGUGGGGAAUAUUGCACAAUGGGCGGAAGCCUGAUGCAGCAACGCCGCGUGCGGGAUGACGGCCUUCGGGUUGUAAACCGCUUUCGCCUGUGACGAAGCGUGAGUGUCGGUAAUGGGUAAAGAAGCACCGGCUAACUACGUG